AUAUCAUCCACGUAUAUUCUUAAAAAUGCCCAAUCGUGAACAAAUUUUUCUUCUUGGUAGUAUGAAACAUCAAAUAACUGGUUCGAAAUUACCAUCAAUUGGUGAUCGAAAUUACCAUCAAUUGGUGACUGUUUACGAGUUUUAUUUUUUAAUAUGAGGAUCUCUAAAUUAAAUUUUGAGGAUCUCUANUUUAUAAUAAUUGGCGAUAACUAUUAAAAAACAAAAACAAAAAAAAUGACAAAUUCAAACAAAGAGAGUUACAGUUUUGUGGUACUUUAAAUGAUCUUUUUGAUAUUGCCCAUCAAAACGCUUUGAAUAUUAUAAAUAUUGAAGAAGACAGGCAGUUUUUACUCAGGCAAAGAGAAAAAGGUCGAGUAGGAUCCAUGCUUGGAAUUGAUAAAAAAUUAACGAAUUAACGAAAAAAAAUUAAUCAUUUAUAUUAUUUAAAUGAAGAGACGGUUGUGUUCUCAUUAUUUGAUGAAAGAGUAAACAAUAAAACUAAAAUAAUGAUGACAAAAAAAAUAUUGAAUCAAGUAAUUCAAGACGGAGAUUGGCAAAACGAUGAUGAUCCACCAAAAAUAUUAAUAUUAAAAAAAGAGAUUUUGAAACAGUUUUUAGAAGACGAUGAUAAUAACAUUUUAGUUAAGCUUAUUGGUGAUAAAUCAAUAAAGUUUUUUGAAAAAUUUAAAAUUUCAACAGAAUUUUUAAAAUCACAUCCUAAAACAUGGAACGAGAUAGAUUCAUUUAAGAAAGGGGAUUCUGUCAUAAGAAACUUAAAAAUCGUAAACGACUCUGUUGAAAAGAACAUACAAUUGAUGGAAGAGUUUAAUGAUAAAAUUACAAAAGAUGAAACCCAAAAACAGUUUUUAUUAAAGGUAAAUAUUAAAACCAUUUUCUAGAUAAGUAAUAUGUAAACAAAAUUAAAGGUAGGUAAUUAUUUUUUUUAUUAUAGACCGUUCAAGAUUACCGUAAAAAAUAU